GACGAACGCUGGCGGCGUGCUUAACACAUGCAAGUCGAACGGAAAGGCCCCUUUGGGGGUCCUCGAGUGGCGAACGGGUGAGUAACACGUGAGUAACCUGCCCUUGACUUCGGGAUAACUUCAGGAAACUGGGGCUAAUACCGGAUAGGAAUCCUUGCUGCAUGGUGGGGGUUGGAAAGCUUCGGCGGUUUUGGAUGGACCCGCGGCUUAUCAGCUUGUUGGUGGGGUAGUGGCUUACCAAGGCUUUGACGGGUAGCCGGCCGAGAGGGCGACCGGCCACAUUGGGACUGAGAUACGGCCCAGACUCCUACGGGAGGCAGCAGUGGGGAAUAUUGCACAAUGGGCGGAAGCCUGAUGCAGAAACGCCGCGGGCGGGAUGACGGCCUUCGGGUUGUAAACCGCUUUCAGCAGGGGCGAAGCUUGUGGUGACGGUACCUGCAGAAGAAGCACCGGCUAACUACGUG
rnacentral:rRNA from 1 species